rnacentral:rRNA from 1 species
GAUGAACGCUGGCGGCGUGCCUAAUACGUGCAAGUCGAGCGAACAGACGAGGAGCUUGCUCCUCUGACGUUAGCGGCGGACGGGUGAGUAACGCGUGGAUAACCUACCUAUAAGACUGGGAUAACUUCGGGAAACCGGAGCUAAUACCGGAUAAUAUAUUGAACCGCAUGGUUCAAUAGUGAAAGACGGUUUUGCUGUCACUUAUAGAUGGAUCCGCGCCGCAUUAGCUAGUUGGUAAGGUAACGGCUUACCAAGGCGACGAUGCGUAGCCGACCUGAGAGAGUGAUCGGCCACACUGGAACUGAGACACGGUCCAGACUCCUACGGGAGGCAGCAGUAGGGAAUCUUCCGCAAUGGGCGAAAGCCUGACGGAGCAACGCCGCGUGAGUGAUGAAGGUCUUCGGAUCGUAAAACUCUGUUAUUAGGGAAGAACAAAUGUGUAAGUAACUAUGCACGUCUUGACGGUACCUAAUCAGAAAGCCACGGCUAACUACGUG